rnacentral:rRNA from 1 species
AUGGACGCACGGAUGAGGCUGAUAAUCCAGGCAGCAGCACAGAUUAGUGUGAUUCAGGCAUGGGUCAUGUUCAUGCACCAGAGAGUUGUUCGUCGUGUUGGGAGACCGUUGAUCCGCUAUGGUCCAUUGUUUCCCCGAGAACAGGAGAGGAUCCAAAAUCUGAACUACAUCUACAACUGCAAUGACGUCGAGGCUCUGCGGAUGCUUAGAAUGAAAAGAGCACCAUUUGCCAGGCUUGUCGAGACCUUCAGGAGCAGGGGCCUGUUACAAGAUAGCAUCAACACCAGUGUCGAAGAGCAAGUGGCCAUGUUCCUCCAUGUUGUUGGCCAUAACCAGAGGUUCAGGUUCAUUCACAACACAUUCAGGAGAUCAAUGGAGACCAUCUCUAGGUACUUCAAGCAGGUGCUUUUUGCUGUUGGGGAGCUUAGAGGAGAGAUGAUCAGGAGACCAUCUAGCCAGACUCCACCCAAGAUUCGCGGAAGCCCAAGAUGGUAUCCAUACUUCAAGGACUGCGUUGGGGCAAUAGAUGGUACUCAUGUCACUGCCAGAGUUCCUAGGUCACAGUCUACAGCAUACAUGGGGAGGAAGCACUACACAAGCCAGAAUGUGCUUGCUGCUGUUGACUUUGAUCUGAAGUUCACAUAUGUGCUGGCUGGCUGGGAGGGGUCAAUGCAUGAUGCAAACAUUCUCACUGACAGUAUGAGUCGACCUGAUGGGAUCAACAUCCCCGAUGGCAAGUUAUACCUUGGAGAUGCUGGCUAUGCAUGUCGGCCGGGUAUUGUUCCACCCUUCAGGAAAACAAGGUACCAUCUCAAUGAGUUCUCUGGUAGGAACUUUCCUAGGACUGCACAGGAGCUGUUUAAUCUUAGACACUCCAGCCUUAGAGUAACUGUUGAGAGGGCAUUUGGAGCUCUGCAGAAUAGGUUUAAGAUCGUGGAUCAGAAGCCAUUCCACCCAUACUCCACUCAAGUUAAGCUAGUUCUUGCUUGUUGCAUUCUACAUAACUGGAUCCUCCAGUGGGGCUUUGAUUAA